UGCGGGGGGGGCAAGCGUUGUUCGGAAUUACUGGGCGUAAAGGGCUCGUAGGUGGCCAACUAAGUCAGACGUGAAAUCCCUCGGCUUAACCGGGGAACUGCGUCUGAUACUGGAUGGCUUGAGUUCGGGAGAGGGAUGCGGAAUUCCAGGUGUAGCGGUGAAAUGCGUAGAUAUCUGGAGGAACACCGGUGGCGAAGGCGGCAUCCUGGACCGGGAUUGACACUGAGGCGCGAAAGCCAGGGGAGCAAGCGGG
rnacentral:rRNA from 1 species